UACGAAGGGUGCAAACGUUGCUCGGAAUUAUUGGGCGUAAAGAGCUCGUAGGCGGCUUGUCGCGUCGUCCGUGAAAACUUGGGGCUCAACCCCAAGCUUGCGGUCGAUACGGGCAGGCUAGAGUUCGGUAGGGGAGACUGGAAUUCCUGGUGUAGCGGUGAAAUGCGCAGAUAUCAGGAGGAACACCGAUGGCGAAGGCAGGUCUCUGGGCAUUAACUGACGCUGAGGAGCGAAAGCAUGGGGAGCGAACAGG
rnacentral:rRNA from 1 species